UACGGGGGGGGUAAGCGUUGUUCGGAAUUACUGGGCGUAAAGGGCUCGUAGGCGGCCAACUAAGUCGGACGUGAAAUCCCUCAGCUUAACUGGGGAACUGCGUCCGAUACUGGAUGGCUUGGAUUUGGGAGAGGGAUGCGGAAUUCCUGGUGUAGAGGUGAAAUUCGUAGAUAUCAGGAGGAACACCAGUGGCGAAGGCGGCUUUCUGGACGGUUACUGACGCUGAGACGCGAAAGCGUGGGGAGCAAACAGG
rnacentral:rRNA from 1 species